UACGAAGGGGGCUAGCGUUGUUCGGAAUUACUGGGCGUAAAGCGCGCGCAGGCGGUCUUCCAAGUCAGUGGUGAAAGCCCGGAGCUCAACUCCGGAACUGCCAUUGAAACUGUGAGACUUGAGUAUGAGAGAGGUGAGUGGAAUUCCCAGUGUAGAGGUGAAAUUCGUAGAUAUUGGGAAGAACACCGGUGGCGAAGGCGGCGACCUGGUCCUUGACUGACGCUGAGGCGCGAAAGCGUGGGGAGCAAACAG
rnacentral:rRNA from 1 species